UCAUGGUGGUGUGAAAGAAACGAGCAAUUUGAAAGGUAGAGAGAAAGAAAGGGGAAAGGUGAAGUGGAAUGGUCUAGAAUUUCACUUGUUUGAUAUUUCAUUAUGGCGCUAUAAUUGCCUGCUGUGCAUUUUUUGUUAGGUGUGGAGUGGGAAAGUUUAGGCACGAAGUUAGAAACUAUUAUUUACGACGUAUCAUUCAUGCCAUAAAAGGUAUAGGGAUCCAAAUAUAUAAAAAAAUUCACUUUACGACAUAACGUGAUGCCUUAAAAGAGAAGGAAAGUGCAUCAUGUAAAUUGUCAAAUAUGACACACAACGCUUACGCUGUAAAUAUUUUUAUUUAACGAUUUGCACAAAAGUGAUGCCAUGAAUGCUAGAUUAUGUACAAGUAUUACGACAUGAACUUUACGAAUGUCAUGAAUAAUAUCAUUUAAGGCAUGCCAGUACUGUACGCCGUAUAUUUCAAGUCAUAAAAGACCCAAAUUGUUCUAGUUUGAGGCUGCAGAUCAUACAAGAGAUACAUAGCGAAGGCCAAGUUGGAAGGGACAAAACCUUUACACUUGUGUUUUUUCUCAUUUCUAGCCUGCCAUGUGUAAAGAGGUAUAUCGUUUUGUGAAACGAUGUCGAAUCUAUCAGGUUUCUAAGGGCAAGGCAACGAACGCUGCAUUGUACAUGCCACGACCCAUUCCAUCACAACCAUGGGUGGACAUGAGCAUGGAUUUUGUUUUGGGUUGGCCUCGUACUUAGCAUGGUGUAUACUCAAUUUUUUUUGUGGUGGAUCAAUUUUCCAAAAUGGCUCACCUUAUUGCCUACAAGAAGACAACAGAUGCUUCAGAAGUUGCUAAGUUAUUCCUUUGUGGAGUGUACCGACUUCUUGGAUUACCAAGUUCGAUUGUUUCAAUCGUGACACCAAGUUACCUAGCCAUAUUCGAUGUGUUCAAUAUGAAACAUCUCAUUCCAUACAAAUGGGACAUCGAUGAUACUGGAAAUGCAAAUUUGAGGGUGAAUUUUCUCCAACCUGGAGAGGAUGAUGCAGAUCAGUUGGCCAGUGCAUUUAUUGAAUCAUUGGGGUAAAAUGAAUGACUAUAACCAAUAAAAAGAACUUAAUAAUAGCCUUUAGUAGCUCUUAAUAAUAGCCAAGGCAUUUUGGACAUUUUUGGCUGAUUGGAUUACUUUCUUUAUGUAAUUUUCUGUUUUUUUUUUUUUUGUCAUUUUAAGUUUAUUGCCUUUUUAAUUUCGGAAUGUAUGUUACAAAAUGGUUAUAAAUACCACCUCUUUUUGUAAGAUGGAGGAAGUUGGGCGUUUUUGUUGAUGAAUGAAAUAUUCAGAGAGAUUUCUAUCUCAUAUUUUGUGCCUUUCUCUUGUUUAAGAGUUUGUUGCUUUGUUCUUUCUAGUGUCUACAUUAUAGGCUGGUACUAGAAUCAAAGUUCUUAGGGUUUUCAGGUCUUUCAUCGCACUAGGAGAUAGUGAACUCUACCUAUCUAUCAUAUCUAUCAUUUUUGUUUUCUUUUCCAUUGUACCCUGCAUCAGAAGAACAGCUACAAUUAAAAAAAAAAAAAGGAGACGGACCGACCUGACUCGAUCGGCCCUCGCCAGCCAGGCCCCCGGCGAGCCACAAGCAGCAUCAGGGCAAGCCCAGAUGCCCAACCUUUGUUCCAACCCAGUUAAGCUGCGGCAUCAGCUCCUAAUGUACCUAGCAGCGGCCCACGUGCUGCCAUUUGAGAAGAACCAGGGGCAUGAUGAAAUCAAGGAAGAAGAAGGAAAAUUUUCAAACAUGAGAUAUUUUCUAUGUGAAUUCUCUACGCAAUUUAAGCAAGGGUCAUCUCCUAUAUAUAUAAAUCCUUGUGGGGAAAUAAAAAGGAAGUCUUUUCCUACAAAGAUUUUGAAACCUACCUUGUUUUGGAAAAAAAAAAAAUCAUAUGUCAAUUGGAAGUACAUCUCUUUUUGUUUCCUACCUAAACACAAGUAUUUGUGAAGGCUGUAGACAUCGAAAUUUCGGUAAAUAAAUGUUGACCGAUAAAUCAAAGUUUCAACGCUCAUGUAUUACAUAAAUUUUACACGUAACGUGUGUCUAAACAAAAAAUCGAAAUAAGUUGGAAAAGUCAUC
rnacentral:lncRNA from 1 species